rnacentral:lncRNA from 1 species
AGGAAACUAGAUUAAAACUGGAAAACAAGUCCUAGCUGGUUCCAGCAAACACCAACGUUAAGUGGGGGGUAUUUUCUAUGGUGGUUGGGCGGCUGGUGCGUCUUGUGCCUUUUGUUUGAUUUGACUGUAUUUUCGCCUUUUGUCUCUUAAUGACGAUCACACCAUUGCUAUAUCCAGAGCAGUAAACAGUCCUCAGCGAAGCCGCCUUUUUGCCUACCCAACCCUGGAAAGUUUGCAGAAGUGGAAGGAGCAGAACGUGAGGGUGUAACUUACAAAAAGGUUCUGGGCCGGAGAAGGGGCGACGUUCGGGCACCCCCCGAAUGGACAAUCUUUCCUUCUGUCAACGGCAGGGGCAGGCCUAGUUUGACUCUGACAGUCCUCCCACUAAGGAAUUCCUGGUGACUGGAAGGGGGAGUGACUCAGGCCCUCAACCUCUAGCAGGUAAGGGAGCUACCUCCUGGGUGGGCAUGCCCAGUUCCUCAGUGGGCCCAGCGCGGCCCAGCCUCCGAGGAAGCUCUGAGCAGCUGGCUUGGCUCCGAGGUAUUUUUAGCUACAGAUCCAGCCCCCCUCCAUCACCACAACAGUCGAGUCCAAAUCAAACGCGCUCCAGGCAGGUGGGGCUGGGGUUCUGCCAGCCUCCUGGCCAGCAGGGGUGGGUGGGCAGACUGGGGCCAGUAUCAGCUGUUCUGCCUGGACCCAGGCCGGGCUGGGAAGGCACACUUGUGCUUAUUUCCCGCCUCCACUUCUGUGCAAGCUUGUGCUGUCAUAAGCAGAGAUCACAGCCCCAUUUCUUGGAUGGAGAAAGUGGACACUGAGGUCUGAGGCUUUUGAGGACAGUCAGGAGCCCUCCUAUGGGCUCCAGUGAUGCACUCACCAGCUUCUGGUCCUCUUCUUCCACCUCUUAGAGUGCCUUGGCUCCCUCCUGUCGUCCUGGGGAACCUCGGCCCCAGCCCUGCCUCCCCAGCCAGUCACAGCUCCUCCCUGGUCACCCUGAGGGAGCUCAGGGCCCGGCUGGUAGCUGGGUUGCUCUGCUUCUGUCCCCCACUCCUGUGGAGCCUGGCAGGCAACUCCAUGAUCUGACCCCGGUUACCUUGACAGCCCUGCCUGGCCUCCCCUCUCAUGGCCCAGCCACCCCAGAACCUGAAGAGGUUUUCUAGCUGCCGUGCAUUUGCCAGGCUGGGUUACCCACCCUACUUUCCCUGCCUGCCCUCCAGUGCUGCCAGGCCUAGUGUGCCAGCCAGCGCUCAGCCUUCAGUAAAGGGUUCCCCUGCUUCCAACCUCCAUUGCACUGCUUCCCCUAAGACUGUGACCUCCUGGAA